GGUACUUUGACGUGAUUUGUGGCUAUCAUUUACCACAUCCAUGACUUGAAGCAUCGCGUUUUUUACCGUCGGUUUUAUUUCUUCAAUCUCUUACAUAAUAUGUCAAGGGUAUUGAAAGGCGCGCAUGACACACACGUGUGACGGUACCAGAAUCAAACGAAUCAGUUGAUGCUAAAUAUUGAACAACGUUGUAUUUCGAAUCAGUCUAGUUUGAUGGCUCCACACUGAUAUGAUUUCAGUUACAUAAUGAACGGAGUCUUCAGACUCCAGUACUUGAGGAUCCUUCGCCACGUCGGAAAAAUAUUCGACGCUCACAAAUCGACGGAAUUUUUGCGAUAAUAAGAUUCUACCCCGACACGGAAUUUCCAGACCAUCCAAAACCAGGCCCGUGGGAAAAAAUCCUGAGGAUUUUCCGAGGUCGAAAAUGAGAUUCGUUGUCAAGAAUGUCUGGGAACGAGUCAAAAGUUAUCAGCUCUGCGUAAUCGUGACAAGACGAAAGGCUUCUUCGGGAAUUUCCGCCUUGCGAAGAAUCGGUAAUUACUAACGAGACGAGAAACGAAGUUUCGGUCAGUCGAUCGCCGAGCGUUGUAACGAUAACAUCGGAUACUCGGUUUCUCGUUUACGUCUAAAAUCGGUAGUUUUCGUAGUUGGCAUUUGAAAAUGUUGAUUAACGCGAUAAGAAUCAUUUGCGCAGCAUGCAAUUUGUGAGAUUGAAUAUCUCUAAAAAAUCAAUGAAGCGCGAAUAAAUUAAAUGUGAUUGAGGUGAAAAUAAAGCUGAUUCGUUCUGAUCAACAGUGAUACAGGAUUAUACGUGACCAGGAUAACACACAAGAUUAACCUGUGAGUUGGAUAAAUGUGGCUGGAUUCGUAAUCUUCAAGGUGUCACCUUCCUUGGAUCGAUCCAGAAGAACUCAUGGAUUCACGGAAAUAUUUGCGGAAAAUAAAGACUAUUCACAGCAUACGAAAAAUUUGCCUUUUUUAAAAAGAUUGUCAAGUUUUCAUCUACGUUGAUGUUAAUCUUCGUAAAAAUUUCAUAUGACUGGAAUUUAAUUGCACUUUAAAUGAACAUCCGUAUCAGUUUCCUUAAAGAUGAAUGAAAUUAUUUAACACUUUUUAAUCUCAUGCUUUUCAAAUUGAGAAAGGAAAAAAUUCGGAGGUUCUAGAUCUGGAAAAAAAUUUCACAGCGUACAAAACCGUGCUCACGAAUAGUUAGAUAAUAAUAAUAGGAGAACGAGAAAUUGAUAUCAACGGUUGCAAAAUGGUCACCGAACUACCGAGGCAAAAUGGAGGAAGAAAAGACGACAUAACCAGAUAAAAUUCCAGAAACGGAUGAACAAAAUGAAACAUUGCGCGAAGAGAAGAAAAAAUAUGAAACAAUUUACGAUAAACUAACGCAACAGAUUACUGAAUUUAAUCUGAAUCAAACAAGCGAAACUUUGAAACGAAAAUCCUGAAAUUGAUUUUCUUUGAUACCCUGAUGACGAGAAUAUUUCAGUUUCCAGUAAGUGUAAAGUAUCAGCGAAGGCGUAAUAAGAAUGGAUGAAAUUAGGCAGGUUAAUGACUUUAAGCUAAUUGUAAGGCGUUACUUAAUUUGCUGUAUUCACAAUCAGAUUCGAAAAGGUGAAUAUAAGAUUUCCAAGUAAAUUCGUGAGUUGAGUAAAUACGCAAAUAUAUCGAGGAUCGCGAUCAGGGCCAAUAAACUCUUUCGAUGAAUCGCACAACGAUCG